AGGGCUGGGCUCGGGGGUCCCA
rnacentral:siRNA from 1 species